GAUGAACGCUGGCGGCGUGCUUAACACAUGCAAGUCGAACGAUGAAGCCUAGGUUUCUUUGUGUGGUAGUGGCGAACGGGUGAGUAACACGCGAGUAACCUGUUCUUGAUUCUGGGAUAAGCCUGGUAAACUGGGUCUAAAAUCGGAAAUGAGCGCCCAUCGCACGUUAGGCGUUGGAAAGAUUUAUCGGUGUUGGAUGGACUCGAGGCCUAUCAGCUUGUUGGGCAGGUAAUGGCCUACCAGGGCGACGACCGGUAGCCGGCCUGAGAUGGUGACCGGCCCCACUGGGACUGGGCCACGACCCGGACUCAAACGGGAGGGAGCGGUGGAGUAUAGAGCACACUGGGCUGAGGCAUGAUGCAGCGCCGCCGCGUGGGGGAUGUCGGCCUUCAGGUUGUAAAGCUCUUUCAGUAGGGAAGAAGCGAAAGUGACGGUACCUGAAGAAGAAGCACCGGCUAACUACGUG
rnacentral:rRNA from 1 species